rnacentral:rRNA from 1 species
UACGGAGGGAGCUAGCGUUGUUCGGAAUUACUGGGCGUAAAGCGCACGUAGGCGGCUUUGUAAGUUAGAGGUGAAAAGCCCGGGGCUCAACCCCGGAAUUGCCUUUAAGACUGCAUCGCUUGAAUCCGGGAGAGGUGAGUGGAAUUCCGAGUGUAGAGGUGAAAUUCGUAGAUAUCGGGAGGAACACCGGUGGCGAAGGCGGCGACCUGGUUCGAUACUGACACUGAGGUGCGAAAGCGUGGGGGAGCAAACAGG